UUGGUUCUUCAUCAAUCUUUCAAUGAUAUUAUCCCAGCUAGACCUCGAGGCCUUACUCCAGCCAGCUCAAGGCCCAGUCUUGUGACCCUGUCGGGUUGCCUUUCUUAUUUUCUGUACAUACAUUUGGAAUUAUUCAUCUAUCAACUAGUAUUAGGAUUAAUCACAUAUUUUUAGAACCACAAAUCAAAUAUAAUUGUAAAUACCAUUUUCAAUGUAAAUAGUUUGGCGCCCACCAUGGGGCUAAAAAUAAUAGUGAUUUUUUUGUGCUAGUUUUCUGUCAACACAUGUUGCUCUUCACGAUUUUUCUUGUCCAAGGAUCUUUGAUUUCAGGUAAAAAAAUGUCUAACUCAGAAAAUGCACACGAAAAUAACGAUGUUGGGAUUCAUGGAAAGAACGGACCAGAAGAACCUCAACGCAUCAUUCACAUGAUCGUUGGAGGAACCGACCUCCCAUAGGGAUCCAUGUUCAAACAUGCCAAAGUAUCCAUCCCAAUAGAAAGGCAAAAUCGAAGCUAUAUACCCGAGGACACCCUUAUAUUUAGAGAAGAAGACAUUGGGACCUUGUCCCAACCACACGAUGAUGCGCUGGUAAUUUCUUUUCUUUGUAAUAACGUUCAAAUUAAAUUUGCGCUCGGGGAUCCAGGUAGCUCAGCCAACAUAAUUAGGUCGAAGGUGGCGGGAAACUCAGACUGCUCGACCAGAUCGUACCCACAUCUCGAAUCCUCCAUAGAUUCAACAUGACAAGCGAGACAAAGAAUGGAGAAUUCAUCCUCCUAAUCAUUGUGUCUGGUACAGUUCAGGACACCAAGUUCCAUGUCAUCGAAGGUGACAUGGGGUACAACGCCUUACUUGGGAGAUCUUGGAUACACAACAUGAGAGUGGUACAAUCGACCCUUCACCAGAUAAUGAAAUUCCCAACAAAAAACGGUAUAAAAAUGGUGUAUGGAGAAUAACAUGUAGCAAAGGAGAUGUUCGGGAUAAACAACACACCACCAACACCGACUCCCCUCGUCCAAGAUGGGUUAGUAAAUGGGUCGACCCUCGAGGAACAGGUGGUCUGCAAACACUCCAACGAAGAUGAUGUAGCGUACUUCCUCACUCCUCGGACCUUCAUUGCCCCCAAGGAAUCAGAUGCAACAAAAUCAAUAGUCAAAGAACUCGAACAAGCCGUCUUAAUCAAACAUCUUCCAAAUCGAAAGGUAUACGUGGGAACAUGAUUAACCCCCCAAACUCAGGAAAAUACUCAUCCAAUUUCUUGUUAACAAUAUUAAUUGCUUUGCUUGGUCCCAUUUAGACAUGACAAGGAUCCCACCAGAAAUAGCCACCUAUCAACUAAGCGCCGGUCCCAUGUUCAAACUUGUGAAGCAAAAAAGGAGGCCUCAAUUCAAGAUAAAACACGCAUUCAUCAAAGACGAGGUAACAAAAGACCUUAAAAUAGGAAUAGCAAGGAGGUAAAAUACCCCGAAUGGUUGGCUAAUAUUGUAGUGAUCCCCAAAAAAGGAAAUAAAUUAAGAAUGUGCGUGGAUUAUAAAGACUUGAAUAAAGCAUGCCCGAAAGACUCAUUCCCAUUGCCCAACAUCAAUCUCUUCAUCAAUGCCAUGUCAGCCACGAGAUCCUCACCUUUCUCGAUGCUUAUUCUGAGUAUAAUCAAAUUCAAAUGAACCCAAGGAAAAGACUUUGUUCAUCACGAAGUAUGGUACACAGGGAAAAGGCUUCGUUCAUCAUGAAGUAUGGUACAUACUGCUAUAAUGUAAUUCCCUUGGGACUAAAAAUUGCAGGAGCUACAUACCAACGCCUAGUUAAUAAGAUGUUUGAACAUCAAAUAGGAUAAUCUAUGGAGUUUACAUUGAUGACAUGCUAGUUAAGUCCCUGCGCGCAGAGGACCAUUUGACUCCUUUGUAGGAAAGAUUCGAUAUCCUAAGAAGUUACAACUAUCACACCUCCUUUUUAAUACCCCUAGAAGGGGAUAUAAGGGAGUUUUUCCAAUUUAAGUGACAGUCAAAACGAGAUUAUUUUAUUAAAAUCAGAUUCGCCACUUGGGAUGGUUUUUUGGUAUCCCAAGUCACAGGUUUAAAAUCCCGAAUCGAGGAAAAGUUUGACUCUAUUUUAUAGUUCGUGAAACAUAGAAAUUUGAGUAAGGAAUUUUGUUUACCCGGGAGAAGAUGUUAGGCAUUUCCGAGUUCCGUGGUUUUAGAACGGUCGCUUUGAUCAUACUUGGCUUAAACAAAUUGUUUGAUUACUGAUUUUAGAAUCAAUGUGCAUUGGCCUCUUAAUUAAGAAAUUAUCUUGAGACGGGUCACGCUCACGUGUACCCAUUUCUUUGGCGCGUCAAAAAUCAUGUCAUGCAAAUAUGUCUAUAAUUAGUAACUCUUUAUUAUUAUUAGGAAAAGUUUGGUCAAAGUUGCGCGAACGCAUACUCUGGUUUUGUUUUUAAAAUCGUAAUCAUGUCAUGCGAACGUGUCCACGACCACUUUAAUAUAUUAAACAUUCCUAAAUCAACACUAUGAUCAUUUGUUAUAUCUAAAUUAUGAAAUUAAUACGAGGGUCAUGUAUAAUUAAAUGUGGAUGGCGCACCUCGAACUAUAUAAUCCUAAAUUAAUUUAGCGGCCUAUUAAACCAAUUUUAUUAUUAAGAAGAAGCUGAUUGAAGUUGCGCGAACGCAUACUCUGAAUUAGUUUUAGAAUAUUAAUUAUGUCACGCGAAUGCUUACACAAUCACAAUAUUAUUCUUAAACGCGUGCCUAAAGCUCUUCUACGAGGUUUGUAAACUGGUGUUUGUGAGCACUCGGGCCCGAGAUUAUGGAGUAUUUUCGCUAGAGAGGCUUCGUGCAUUUUGGCCAGCCCAAAUCCUAAGCUUGUUAGUAAUUUAAAUCAUUAAACGGCUGGGCGUUCCAUUACACCACGAAUAGCAAAACUUCGAAUAGACCAGCUCUAACAAACUCAAAGAAUUCCCAAACAGCCAAACAUUGAAGAACAAACUACAAUUCUAGUCACGAGACAAACAAAGAAUAACUAGCAAUUUUAAUUGAUUGGAGAUGGUGACCUUGAGCACAAUAAGAACCAAGACCGCCCCCACUUACCCAUCUUAAUCUAAAAUUCAGAAUAAAACUUAAUGAUUCACAUAGCAACUUCAACCCCUAUUUCUGAUGAAUUAAUGCUCUUAAUAUUGCAAACAAAGCAAAUUCUUAGGACUCAAACUCAUGUGAACCUUGACUUCACACAUUAUAACCAUGCUUCGUGGGAAUUACAGCAAAACCCAAGUGAGUCUACUAACCAGCAACUUUGAAUACAAUACAAAUAUGUGUGUUACGCCAUGGGUCAAUUUUACCAAAUUCAAAUUAUCAAAAGAAUCUUUAAAUACAAGUCAUGGACUGACCUAACAGAUGUGGCUGAAUGACUUAGCAUGCUAUUGAUUCACCCUAAAUUCGGUUCAAAAACUUUGAAGCAAACAAGAAUUAUGCACAUUUCCAAAACAAAAAAAAUAGCUACUAUCAUGGUUCAACUAAGGCCUGAUUUACUACACACGAUCAACACAAGUAAGCUAAUCAAGAAAUAAACCCGUUCGAAUGAAAUUCUCUCUAAUAUCCAUAAAUGAAUCUGUGAUUACAAGCCCGGUGAAAACACACCAAAUAAGACAACAAAGGACUGAAUAAAGCACUUACGAGACCCCAUCUUUUCCAACUAGGAAACUAUUCAAAGCUAUUCCAUACAUGUUGAAUCUACAAAGGAACAAAAUUUAGAGAUGAAGAAUUCAUGAAUUUGGUUAAUUUCUUAUUUCCACAUUCCCAGGUUUAUCAAAACAAAUGACUAGUAUGGCCAUUUUCACAUCAUCUUUCACUAUAAUACCCAGAUCACUUUCACCAUUCCAAUAUGUUAAGUUAAGAGCAAAAAGGCACCUGAUCGAGCACAAACAUCAGAUUUAUGGCUAGUGUUCUCACAGUAAACCUUAGUGCAAAACUUCAGCCAUCAGAUUUAAGCUAUAUACAACUUAAACCAACUAUUUAAUCUUCUAACCCAACUAACACAUGUAUAGAUAAUCAUUAGAAAAAAUCAGAACCUAUAACAUUUUUGUUGAACACUGAACUUCGUCCAUUCAAGGUUAACACACAUUCAUUUGAAAUCAGAGAUGGCAAGCCACCACAAGAGAAACUCAUUAGCUUAUACACGGACCAUAUGUGCAAUUUUCAAAGAUAAAACAUUCUUCAUACACUCGAUACAUUAGAUUGAAGUUUCAUACCUUGUGAGCAACACAUCAAAAGGAAAAGAAAAUGAAUAUCUGGUUCUGAGGAAUGGAAGCACCACAGAACCAAAAAGGAACAGCUGCAGGUCGACAAAUAGUAACAUGUUCAAACGUCCAAAACCAGAAUCAAAGAAAAGAAGAACUCUGCUAUUUCGAAUUGCUAACUGAGAUUGACAUCCAGUGAAAUCAUGUAACCUCCAUAAUAUUUUUUUAUUUUUGUUCUGUUCGGAUAUAUGAAAAACAAGAAAAUCGCAACCAAAAAAAGGAAACUUUAAACCUAAUUUUCUUCCUUCAAAUUUUCAGAAGAGGUCUCUCCAAAAUUCCUUUAAUCCAAAAAAAAAAAACUCCCUACACAAGAAAAGGUCUUCACCUUGUAUAGACUUCCCAAAGAUCUCGAAGCUUCUACUUCCCUUUUCAAGAAAUCCUCUGAGCCACGAAAUCUUCUGUCUAAACUAAUUUUUACCCUUUUUCAUAAAGGGACAAAUGGAGGGAGUAGAUCAACUCGAAUCUGAUAUGACGCUCCUCAUUUUUCCUCAUUUUCAUCUGAAGGGUGAAAAUUUUGAAAUAAAUCAAAGAGAGCAUGUGAGGGAGAGGGAAUAUGUAAGAAACGGUUACAAUAUGGCAAGAGGAGAGAGGGUAAAACACGUGGCGCGAGUUUGGGUUUCACUCGCCUGAAUUUUGGCAAGUUUUGGGAACAGAUUCGACUUGUUGGAGAUGAAGAAUAGUGUUCCGCCGUUUGGGGUCUUUGAAUUUAGGGUUUUCUUUUAUUUUUUGUGUUAUAAGUGGGAUGGGCGGGUAAUGAGUCGUGGGUUAUGGGAUGGAGAGGGGCA
rnacentral:lncRNA from 1 species